rnacentral:lncRNA from 1 species
GAAAAGUUCCUUGAACAAUGGUAUUGGACUAAUCUGGCUUAGUACAUCAGUAGGAAGCUUAAUUCCACCCUCGUAGAGAGAGCGCACAUCUUGAAAGGUGUUAAACUCAGGGUUAUUGAGUUGUAAUGUAACUACAGAUCUCAGUUGAGGUAUGACAUUUUGAGAUGCUGAUUUGAGUAUGUAAACAAGAAAGUCUGAUGACUUUGUGUGUCCAAAAGAUUCAUCUCUUGGAAGGUAAACAGUGGGACUUCGAGUCUCACUCUUAGGAUCUGUUCAAAUAUAUAAUAACAAUAUAUGUUUUAGAAACAAUACCAAAAUCUUUAGAAUCAUAAGCAGGGUAAACAUUUGGAUCAACCAAAAAAACACAUGUUUAGUCCAAAAUCUGACAGAAGUGUUUGUGGCCUAACCUGUUUUAGUUUUUCUUCUGCCAGUUCUUCCCCUUCGAGGGUAAGGGAAAUCGCUUGAUCCCCCAAGAAUUUGACGCGCCAAUUGAGGUUUCGAGUCAGGCUCACCCAAAUCAUUGUAGACAUCGUAAUCAUAUAUUCUUUCCCAUUCCUUGCGCUCUCCAGUUCCAUCUCCUCUUAAAGUCUUCAAUUCUUCUUGUCUGUAGUACACUAAUGGAGCCGGUGUUUCACUUGGAAGGUAUGUCUACAUAAAUUUAAUCAUUCAAAAUAUCAAGUUUUAGGAAAUAGGCUUAAUAUUCAGCAAGCUAUAUAGUUAUUAUGAUAAAGUGGAUUUGUGAUUUGAGACAUCAGAAAGAGAUUGGGAGUUGCAAGUUCUCAACUCCCUCUACUCGCAUUUCUAAAAACUAAUUACUAAUAUUUGUCGUUAUAAUAGAAAUAACAAGCUACAUGUGUAAUAGAAUUUUUAUUCUUACCUUGUUGGCAAAGAAGAUGCGGUCGGUUUUGUACUUUUUAGAAUUGUAAAUCCAUGAGUUGCAGACAAAGUGGAUGGAUCCAUGGUUUGGAACAUCUUCAAGUGUCAAACUCACAAGGAAGAAUUCACCUUGCAUAAAAUUAUCGAUGUAAAAAGCUCCGGGAAUUCCCAUGUUACUGUCCCAUUCAAAAUGAAUACUGAAAGCAUUUUGUUUGUCUCCCAAUGUUGGUAUGGAGGUAAGAAGACCUUCCAGAAAUGUUUCCUUUCCCACUUUUCCUUUUCCAGCAGCUAUAUUAAAAAUGUCAAAUAUUAUUAGUUUCUCAAUUUCACUAAUCCAUGAUUUUCAAAGUUUAAUUUUAUUCUUUUACAGAUCCAUUUUUCUUUUUACAUGAUCAUCAUCCAUCUUGCCUGAGUUAUAUCGAAGGGAAAUAAUUUCAAUAUUUUAGUGGUAAUUGAUUGUACCUGAUCAUUUAUAACCAAUAUUCUACAUCAAAAUCUCCAUUGCACAUUUUUAAUUUAAUAAAAAAAACAAAAGGGAAAAUAAGGUAAAUCUUAAUGGAUUGAUGUAUCAAAAACUCUUCUUGAAUAAUAGGCUGGCUUGGUGGUGUGGUGGAAGAGUUAUGGAGUAAUUAAUGCAGUCUGAGUUCAAUUCUUACAUCUAGCAAAAACUAACAACCGACAUAAUACUCAUUCGAUAUUAUUUAUAAGAAAUAAUGAAUUUUUUGAUUUAUUGAAUAAUUAAUGUAUAUGAUAUAUAUUCUAGAUCGAAUACAUAAAUUAUUCAAUGAAUCUAAAAAAUUAAUUAUUUCUUAUAAAUAGGAUUGGAUGAAGUAAUAUUUAUUGCUUAAAAAAAUAAAACUCCUCAAUAUUUUGUUGUUAAAUCAGAGAUAUCCUCCACGUGCAAAUGUCUGUCACUUAUGUUAUGUCACACAAUGUUGGUAAAAGAGUCUAAGUAAAGAGAUCAUAGAAGUAUGAAAAGAAGCAAUUUUAAAUAGAAAAAGAUAGUAGAAUUUACAAUUUUAAAAAUCUAAUAAGACAGAAGUUCAAAUAUAAAGUAUAUAGAUGGGGAUGUCAAAUUUUAAAUAGCUUAUGGUACAAGAUUAAUUUAAAAAAUUUAAGUGAGCAUGUGCACCCAUCACGUAGAUCCAUACAUACCAAAUGACAAAGAUAAAGUCCAAAACAGUUGCCAAACGCCAAAUAUCACACUUAUUUGCAUUAUAUAUACUUCUUUUUUUACAAAACCAUUAGAUAUACUCCCUUUAAUAUACAUUGGAUAUAAGUUUUUAUAUAGUCAUUUUUUAUUCCAAUAGUACUAUUUUUUCCAUAUCAUUUUAUUACUUAAUCAAAUGUCCAAAUUAUUUUAAAUAGUUACUUAAAUAAUUUCAUAAUUUCUUUAUUUUAAUUAAGAAGAGACAACGAUGAAAUUUUUGUCUGUCAAGUAAGGAUAUAGUUUUGCAGUUAAUAAAAGAAUAUAAACACAAUUUUUUUCUUUUCAUAAAUUUCAUCAAAGAAGGUAAUCAAUCUUAUUCAGAAUCCGUCGAUCAGACACUAAAUGUGAUACCUCUCUCAAUCAAGAUUCUAAAAUCAUUCUCGUCCGUUAGAUCCAAUUACUUCCAUUGGUGUACACAUAAUUUAAAUAAGUUAUAUCAAUCAAUUAAUUAAAAUGCCUAUUUCUUGUAUGAAUUAAACAUAGUGAGAAAGGUCCUCGUGAACUAGCUCAAUUGAUAGAGACAUAUAAUAUAAUAUAUGCAGGGGUUGAAGUCCGAACCCUAAACAUCCGACUUCUCCAUAUUUAAAAUGUGUGAGCUCCCGUCACUGGGUUAAUUGACAAAAAGAAAAAUAGAGUGAGAAAGAGAAAUGAGUUAUUACCAUCAGCACUUGUAGCACUAAUCAACCUGAGAGCUAUAGAACGUCCCAAGAAGGAAGUGGCAGUAUCAAGUAUAUUGCCAGCAACAUCACCAACAAUACCAAAGGCACCACCAAUGAUACCAGUAGGGCUUUUAGCAGCAGUGAGGGCGUUGAUAUCCAAAGUAUUCUUUUGCAUCAACACCACAGUUCCCUUCAACUUUUGGCCUCUAUCAAAGAGACCUGUUACACCAGAAAACAUCUUUGAAUAUGCUUUAAAUGUAUUACACUAUAUAUGGUAAAUGAAAGAAAGGCUUGUGUCUUGUAACCAUAGGGGUGGUUAGUAUUUAUAGUAGUUGAUGAGAUUAGGAUCACAAUGUUAUAGUUCAAAUGAGGUGAUAUUUUUAUUCAACUACUCAUUUACAACAUGGUGGAAUGCAAUUGGUCACGUCUUAUGCUAAUUUUUUAUUAUGAGUGAUUAUCUCGUGGUAUAUAAAAUAAUAAUAUAUCCGAUUGCAAAAUUAUUUUGGUAGUUGUUAUAUGUGCCAGCCUUGGCAUUAUGUUCAAUAAUAAUGACUCUGUUUGCUCUAUUGUUAAUUAUUACUACUAUCUUACGUGUCUGCAUUGGUUUUCUCGAGUUUUCUCAUAUUUUUUAAAGUGGGAAAAUCUCUACCCUUAAAAUUCAUUUCUUUCUUAUUUUAAUUUCAAAAUCUCUCCUCUUUUUUUUUUUUUUUUUUUUUUCUUUUUCUUUUUCUUUCUCUCAUACUAUCAAAUCAAGAUUAGGAUUGGACUUGAGAUACAUUUGCUUAGUCACAAACAUAAAAAUGAGUCAUUUAACACACACAAUGUAAUAAAAAAAAUUGAUUUGGUGUUGUGGUCUAAUUUAACACUUACUAUAUAAGUAUUUCUCCAUCCAAAGAUGGAUCCAAAAAUCUAUUAGCAAUUUUAGUUCACGGCCUAAUUUAUUCUCUUGUUUGGGAGUCUUUUGUAACAAUUUUUGUUUUUUUAUUUUGGGUUGACGGCAAGACCUUUGUCUUUUGAUGUAACUAUACUCUUUUUCCUUGUUCUUUUGGCACUUUCUGUGCUGGAAUAGCAGAUAUUUUUCAAAUAUAAGCAAUCAACGUUUGUUCUAGGGCGCUCUAUAUAUGGAUAAUGUUAUCAGCCACGUUUUUGACAUUUGCAUCAAUUUUUUUCUUUAUAAAUGAUGAAUAAGACAUGUAUUACUAAUGAUGGUUGAUAUUCCAGCUAUCAUGGAAUCCAAGUCGCCAUAGUACAAUGUUUUUAAAAUCCCAGCUAUGUUGGCAACCCAAAACAUCGUGUGUCAAAUGCGCCACAUCUUAUAUAUUAUUAAUAAUAAAAAAUACAAAAACGAAAAAAGUUGAGUUAAACUCAACAAAGCUAAUUAAAAUGAUAGGUAUGCAUACCAAACCUAUCUAAAAAAACCACUGAUAAUAAAACUAGGACAUAUAUACCACCAUUGAAAAUCUCCAAUUAGUUUACAAAUAUCAACGAAAAAACUUCUCCUUUUCCUCUUGUGACAUAGAUGAUCUCCAGUAGGUUUCUGCGUUUUUCCUCUUCAGUUUCGUGUUUUGCUGCUUGCGUUGGGGGUGUGAAAAUUAAACACUGAUGACUUGUGAAAAAAAGAAGCAUAAAGGGCUGCUGGACUAAAGUCUGAUAAUUGUUGGUCCCUCUAUUAUUUUUGUUAUAUACACCCCUCUAUAAACGAUUAUUGUUAUAUACACCCUCGUAUAAAAAAAUUAGGUCCCUAAAGGCAUGGGCCCUAGGCUGCCGCACCCCAUCCUAUAUCUAUGGCUGGCCCUGAAUGUUAUCGUUGUAAUAGAAGUGGUUUAAUAUAUAAAAUGAAAGACAUAAGGUAAAUAGGGUAAUGUUGCAUUAAAAAUGGAUGUUGGUAAGGCAUGUGGCAUUGAUAGGUCAUUUGAAAGAAAUUUUGAUGAAGAUGAGGUUAUGUCAGUAGUGAAUGAACUAGAUAAUGAUGUGUAUUAAAAUGGUGGAUUAUUCCAUUAUUGUUAACAAUGAAAUCACAUGACCAAUCAUACUCGGACGAGGCCUUCAUCGGAGAGAUUCUUUGUCUCAUUGUUUAUUCUGUGUGCAGAAGGCCUAUGUGCUCUUAUUAAGUAUGUCGAGGCUAGUGGAGAGCUUCAUGGGGUCAAAAUUUGUCGAAACACUUUGAUUAUUACUCGAAUUUUAUUUGCAGAUGACUACUUUCUAUUUUUCAGGGAAGGUGAAGCGCCGAGACUCAAAAUAUGAAGCAAAUUUUGAGGUUGUACAGAGCAACGUCUGGAUAUUACAGCUUAAAUGCCCAACAAUCCCUUCAAAAUGCUUUUACAACAACCUUAGGGGGGUCAGGCGGUGUUAUGCACAAUGAAGUACAUCGGACUACCCUCUAUGAUUGGUAGAAGAAGGAAUGUUACGUUCAGCUUUCUCAAAGAUAUGACUGGAGCAACAAGUAUUUGUGAAAGGAAGAUAUAAUGAUAAAAACAUGUACUGCAAGCAAUACCAUCUUAUGGAAUUAGAAUUUUCUUACUUUCUACCAUGUUCUUUGAUGCCAACGAAAAGAUUAUUAACACGUACGUACUGGUGGGGUCAUGGUGGUUCCACAAUUAGAGGUAUUGACUGGUUAUCAAGGGACAUGCUUGUUGUCUACAAAUUUUUUGGAGGUUUGGGGUUUAAAUACUUGACGUCAUUCAACUAAGCAAUGUUAGGAAAACAAGAUCGGAAAUUCCACACACACUUGGACUGUUUGGUAUCAAGACUGUUCAAGGCGCUCUAUUUUCCUCAUGGAAGCUAUCUAGACCGAAAGUGAUGACAGAGCACUAUAUGACAUUUUGGGCUAUGUUUUUAGUACUUUUAUUUGCAUUUGAAGACAUAUAAGUUGAGAGAUAGAGGAGUUGUUAAUGGUUUGGGAAACAUAUUGUAUUGUUUUCAAUCGAGCCGUUGUUCUUGAUGCUUGACAGUUUAAGGAACCUCUAGGGUAUGUUUUUUAAACAUCGUUGUUCCUUGAUUGAGGAACCUCUAGAUAUUUCAUGAAGUGUAAUUCCUUUAGAUGACAAUUUAAGAGUCACACGGGAUGUUGCAGUCAAAAGAUGUGAUCAUGGCUUUCAUAAUUGAGUUAUGGAUAAAACGACAUCUGUAGGAAUAUUCUCUCUAUAGUAAACCACCGUUUAUGUAAUUUUUAGGUUUUAAUUAAUAGGUACUUUGCAUUAAUCCAACAAAGAGGGAAGAGGGAAGAGGGGAUUCAAGGAUUCCCUAAUCACCGUUAUACAUCUAAAUCACACAAACAUAAUCUUUCUUUGGAUAGGGAAAUUUAACCAUGCAAAUCUUUUUUUCAUCUCUUUUCUAUUUUCUUUCUAAUAAGUUUUGCUAAUUACCGAAAAACUUGCUACUUUAUUAAUUGUUAUGAUUUGGUGCACUUGCCAAUUUCGUCCUUCAGAAAGCUUGGACAUAAAUCAAAGCUUUAGUUGGAGAAGAAUAUUUACCGCUAAGAGAGUAGUACAAAAAGUUGCUCGGUGGAAGAUCAGAUCGGGUACAAAGUUUCAAUUUUUUAUGCUUUGUGGGUAAAAGAUGGGACAAGUAUUCUAGGAGAUGGUCAACCUCUCAAGGUAAUUCAACAGGCUAAAGUGCACAAUCUCGUUGAUCAAGAAUUUCCCGUAUAGAACAAUCAUAUUGUAAACCAGUGUUUUGAUCAACUUAUAAAUGAGCUCAUUCUGAGUACUCCUUUAAUUGAGUCUGUUAAAGAAAGAUAAAUUAAUUUUUAAAUCAAAGAAAAAUGAACAUUACUCGGUAAAAAUUGUGUACAAGAUUUAUACAUAAAAUAGUGCAGGCAACUCAUAUUUAUGUCAGUAAGGUCAUUGGCUGGAAUUUAGAAGUUAAAGGUGCAUCCCAAAGUGAAGGAUUUCAUUUGGCUGAUUUAUCAAGGUUGCUUACCGACGCGUGUAAGGCUGAAAGAUCGAAGUCUCCAUUGUCUGUCUAUUUGUAUGAUGUGCACCGGUAACUAUGGGGAUGCAAUGCAUAUAUUGUUUGAUUCUCCGUAAAUAGGAUAUGUAUAUAUUUUUCUCAAGUGCAUUAAUUUUAUCAUUCAUAGCUCCAGCCCAGUUUAUAUUUUUAAAUGUUUCUUCAAUAGAUGAUUUGAUUCUCACAUAAUCAACGGCAACAAUAAAACUUUGAUUGUGUGGAAAGUUGUUUAGUGGAGACAUAUUGAGAAAUAUGUAUGAUAUCUAUAUAUAGAGGGACAGAUCGAUAACAUUUGCAAUCAUCUACAACAGGCCAUGUUACCCAAGAACAAUCAUCAAUAAAAGAAACAAACCACCUUGCCCCAUAAAUAUUAGAAACAACAAGAAAUAUUAGAAACAGGGGCCGAUCGGCAGACAUCAAAAUGAAUAAGAUCAAAUGGUUCAACACUUUUACGAAGAUUCAACGAAAAAAGUGGUAUGUGUACGCUUAUAAAAUGGAUAUAUAUAUCACAUUUAAAAGACUAAAUCGAUUGCAUUAAAAAACAAAGAUGGAAACAUAAACUUCAUUAGUUGAAAAUGAGGAUGACAAAGACGUUUGUGCUGAAGCCAAAUUUGAGAGGCAGAAUAAGACUCUGACUAAGACUGAAGUGCAGAAGACAACACCUUCUGAUCAAUUCGUGCAUCAUACAAAUAAUAUAGCCCUCCUUGUUCCUAAGCAACUCCAAUCGUCUUUCCCAUUACAAGAUCCUCGAAAGCACAAUGUGAAUCAAAAAAUAUUACUGCACAAAUAUUAUCCUUUAUAAGCUUACGAACAUAGAUAAGGUUAUUCCAAAGACAAGGAACAUGAAGCAUAUCUUUCAACUUAAAAGGUUCAAGGUUAAUUUCUCCACAACCAUCUACACGAGUAUGAGAACCAUAUGCAGCCGCAAAAAAGAAUGUCAUAUGAAGAAAUUUACUUCAAAAAGGCCAAGAACCAAUGUCAUAUGAUCAAUAGCACUAUAGUCAAUAAUAUAAUCAACAUUUCAAGCAAAAACCACAUAUAACUAUUUUCAGUCACAUUGGCUGAUAACUACAAAAGAAUCUCCUCAAAAGAACAACAAAAAGAAGAGGCUUCAAAUAACAAAAAAUAGGCAACAAGGUAAAAACCGUAAGUCGCAACAACGUAAAAUCACCAAAUAAAAGUCAAACUGAAUCACAAAGGGUCCUCAAAGAUGCUGGUAGUCACAAACAAGCACAAAACAACCGCUAUCAAUCAGUUAGUGUCAAGAGUACCCACGUAAAAUAGUAUCUUGGUCUUGGAUCAAGAUUUUGACCCCUUAAACGAACCAAUUAUGUGAAGACUAUAAUUUCUAGGAAUAAAUGGUGUCGAAUGGUGGUUCACAAGGUGGCAUGUGCAUCGCACUUGAUGGAGCUUCACUUUAGAUUGGGCCUCUGCUCUCAACUUCUCAAGUUCUUCUUCAAAAAGUAUUUGAGAACAAAUUUUUAUAGCCCUUUCGUUUAAAAAAUCUUUUUAGUUUUGCCAUAUUAGUUGAUGUAUGAUUCUUUAACUGUAUUUACAUUGGAAAAACAAUUGGCAGUGGAAAUAAAAUCAUUAUGAUCUAUUAUUGCUUUUUCAAUGUUAUCAUUUUUUUGUCAUGCUAUAUUGCAUAUUUGCAUUGAGAGCUUUUUUGUCAUGAAAUAAAAUAUGAAGUUUGCAUUUUAUAUACAAAGUAAAUCACACAACAAAAUAGAAACAUAGUAACUUUUAUUGAUGAAAUACAUUAUAACAAUCAAACAUGAUAGUUUUUAUUGAUAAAACACAUUACAGAAUUAAAAACAAACGUACAUAAUAACAUAACAUGACGAUAUACAUAGGGGGCGAGGGAAUUGGAUUCCUCCUCCUCUUUUAUUAAUAGCGACAACGCAACAACCACGACGUUUUUUAGAUAGAGACACUGUUGGGAAUGCCUCUGCAAGUCAAUCCUUCCUCACUAGAAGGAUAAAGCAGAGUGUAAGGCAUCUUCACUGGUCCGUUACGAUUCCUCAGUGUCUCAUCAUUGUUCCUUUGAAUGAGUUUUUGCUCAAUUUCAGCCAACUUCUUUCCAAACCUCUUAAAGGACUCUUUUGGCUGUGAAUCAGAAGUCCAGAGAUCACCUUCAAUUCUCUCUCCAAGGUAUUGCUCAUCAGAAGCAUGCCUUGACAAGACUUCUAUAAUGGUCAAGUCAGUAAGAGUAUCAUUCUUGGGUGUUAUUGUCCUCAGAUAAGACUUCUGGUAGUCCUUAGCAAGCUCAUCAUACUCAGGGGAUCCCUGCUCAGGCAUGAAUCUUCUACUUUUAGUUGGUCGGUUAACGAUAUAUCCUCCAUACGGAUAUUGUCCAAAAUUAACUGCUGCAUGAAGUGCUGAAGCAAUCCAUAUGAGGGUGGUGCAAGCUUCAAUCAACUCCUCACGAGUUUGCAUCUUAAACCACCAUGUAGCAUUCUUCAAGUCACCAUGACCGACCUCUACAAGUUCUUUCCAGAAUGCUUGGAGUUCAGAAUCUUGUGCAAUAGAUGCAUCUGACUUGUAGUAGAAAUUGACAUAUUCAUCAACCCAUGAUUUAAUAGCAGCCCAUAUUUCUAGUCCAUCUGAAGCAUAAGGGUAGUCCUCUAUUAGAAGUCGAAGACCAUAUGCUGAAGUAGGGUCCUCAACGGCCACUCCUCUAUAGAACAAGCAAAGGAAGAUAACAUUAACAUACAAAAAAAAAAGAUAGUUAGGAAAGUUACUUAGAGUUUGUUUGAUUGGUAGUUACUUUGUUGAUUCUCUACUAGCUCUAUACAUGGCUACAAAGUCAAACAUUUACCAUUGAACUGAAACCGUGUGGUAUUAUACUUGAGAUCAAUAUCUUUUUAAAAAACGGACUGAGUCAAGAUGUAAUGUUUUGUAAGGUUACCUUUUGAUUAGAUCAUUAGGUAGGCCUUGCUCAGUGAAAACCCAAUCCUUGUAAACGACAGAAGACAUUUCCAAAGCAUACUUUCCCCACAAGAAAGUUGACUCGAUAAUACCCUCGGCAUUGACCAACACAUUUCGUGCUAGUGCAUUUAUGUUCAUCGUGUCACGAUAAUGUGGAAGCAGAAGUUUAUGAAUAGGGUGAACCACACUUAGAUGCCUAUUUGUUGCUAUGACGAAUGGCUCAACUACAGCAUGAGUGUUCAACCUGUCACACAUUGUAGAUAAAUUUUCAUCAAAUUACUCAUAGAUGUAUAAAAUUUAUUUGAUUGUUUAAAUAUCAUAAACGAAAUUCAUACCAAUGGCUAACAAGUUGGUGAUAACAUGAAUCAUUUACAAUUACGUAAGCCUUGGCAAGGAGCCAAAUUGAAGCUUCAACACCUUCACUUGCAGGCAAGUAAACUUUGCUAACAGGACCAAAACUAUCACCUUGAGGGUGUGGCCUACUUAGUUCAAUGGCCAAUGGCUUCAAAGUUCCAUCAUCUUGCAAGAAAAGAAUGGUUCUAGUAGCAUAGGCCUUAGUCUCGGUUGCAUUUAUUUUCCUCAAAUAUGGAAAGAGUGGGUCGUGGUGAUCCAGUAUGAACAAUUUAUUAUUCUGGAUAGCCUGUUCCACAAAAUAAAAUUUAGCACUGUUGAAUUAUUUUUUUAGAGUAAAGUUGUUGAAUUGGGUAGAGAUUUACCUGUUCUACCGUGACCCCAACCAUGUUUGGCUGCAAAUGUUCUUUGGUUAUGGUGCUGGUAUUAUUACCAAAGAGUUGGGUAUCUAACUUGCUCUUUGGUGGAAACUCCUAAAAUAAAUGUACGAAGCUGUGGUUAAUUAAAACUUAUAAACAUGGCAUGAAAAGUGGGAAAAAUAGCAUUUGUUAGUUUUUCAGUAUUUUCUUAACAAUGUUAAACCAUUAACUUUACCAAGAGUUUUUUUAUGAUGUGUGGAUUCACCCCAGCAAUCAUCUCCCUUGCAAAUUCCUCAUCAGUCAUCCAUGCAGAAUGAUCGACUGUUCAAAAUUAAAAUUUCAAAAGAUCCAUGAACUUUAUUUCUCUGAUAUAUGUUAAUAGUAAUAGGAAUGUGUGACUAAUUAAUAUAAACCUUGAAUCACUUUUGGUGGUGGAAACUUAAGUGCCGCUUCACCAUCAGUUCGGAAAAGUUCCUUGAACAAUGGUAUUGGGCUAAGUUCACUUAGUAUAUCAGUAGGAAGCCUGAUUCCACCUUCAUAGAGCGAGCGCACAUCUUCAAAGGUGUUAAACUCAGGCUCAUGGAAUUGUAAUGUAACUAUAGAUCUUAAUCGAGGUAUGACAUUUUGAGAUGCAGAUUUGAGUAUGUGAACAAGAAAGUCUGAUGACUUUGUGUGUCCAAAUGAUUCAUCUCUUGGGAGGUAAACAGUGUCACUUCGACUCUCACUCUUAGGAUCUGUUCACAAAUACAAUAACAAUGUAUGUUUUAGAAUCAUAAGCAGAGUAAACAUUUGUAUCAACAAAAAGACUUAGUAAACAACAUCAGGGAUAAAAACAUUAGUUGUCAAGUAGAAUACAAUUUCACAUUUUAGUACCAUAUCACUUAAUUUUUGCCAGAAUUUCUUAAAAUAUAACAUACUCAAGUGUUAAGAUAGAACGUAAA